rnacentral:rRNA from 1 species
UACGUAUGGUGCGAGCGUUGUCCGGAUUUACUGGGCGUGAAGGGGGCGCAGGCGGCGCGCCAAGCCCGAUGUGAAAGCCCGGGGCUCAAUCCCGGGACUGCAUUGGGAACUGGCGUGCUGGAGUGCCGGAGGGGCAGGCGGAAUUCCUGGUGUAGCGGUGAAAUGCGUAGAUAUCAGGAGGAACACCGGUGGCGAAGGCGGCCUGCUGGACGGAUACUGACGCUGAGGCCCGAAAGCGUGGGGAGCGAACAGG